UACGUAGGCAGCGAGCGUUGUUCGGAGUUACUGGGCGUAAAGGGUGCGUAGGCGGUUGUUUAAGUUUGGUGUGAAAUCUCCCGGCUCAACUGGGAGGGUGCGCCGAAUACUGAAUGACUAGAGUGCGGGAGAGGAGAGUGGAAUUCCUGGUGUAGCGGUGAAAUGCGUAGAUAUCAGGAAGAACACCCGUGGCUAAGGCGGCUCUCUAGUACGGUACUGACGCUGAGACGCGAAAGCGUGGGGAGCGAACAGG
rnacentral:rRNA from 1 species